rnacentral:misc_RNA from 1 species
GGCAAGUCCUUAAAGUAACCAAAAUUCGCAGGCCAGCGUUUUGGGGUGAAAUUCAUGGAGCCAAAGCGUCGCCGCAUAGAACCCUUCUUUAUCAGAUUUGCCGGUGCCACGAACACCCCUUAGAUUACAUAUGAGCUUGAGGGUGGUCAAGGGGUUUUGCUGCCAGGCAUCGUGGAGCCUCUUCCUAAGGGAAUCAGGUGGGGUAUUGGGUACGACAUGAAAGAAGAAAUCAAGGCAAGGAUUG